rnacentral:rRNA from 1 species
UAAUGUCUGGGAAACUGCCUGAUGGAGGGGGAUAACUACUGGAAACGGUAGCUAAUACCGCAUAACGUCGCAAGACCAAAGAGGGGGACCUUCGGGCCUCUUGCCAUCGGAUGUGCCCAGAUGGGAUUAGCUUGUUGGUGGGGUAACGGCUCACCAAGGCGACGAUCCCUAGCUGGUCUGAGAGGAUGACCAGCCACACUGGAACUGAGACACGGUCCAGACUCCUACGGGAGGCAGCAGUGGGGAAUAUUGCACAAUGGGCGCAAGCCUGAUGCAGCCAUGCCGCGUGUAUGAAGAAGGCCUUCGGGUUGUAAAGUACUUUCAGCGGGGAGGAAGGGAGUAAAGUUAAUACCUUUGCUCAUUGACGUUACCCGCAGAAGAAGCACCGGCUAACUCCGUGCCAGCAGCCGCGGUAAUACGGAGGGUGCAAGCGUUAAUCGGAAUUACUGGGCGUAAAGCGC